AUUGAACGCUGGCGGCAGGCCUAACACAUGCAAGUCGAGCGGUAGAGAGGAGCUUGCUUCUCUUGAGAGCGGCGGGCGAGUGAGUAAUGCCUAGGAAUCUGCCUGAUAGUGGGGGAUAACGUCCGGAAACGGACGCUAAUACCGCAUACGUCCUACGGGAGAACGUGGGGGCUCUUCGGACCUCACGCUAUCAGAUGAGCCUAGGUCGGAUUAGCUAGUUGGUGGGGUAAAGGCUCACCAAGGCGACGAUCCGUAACUGGUCUGAGAGGAUGAUCAGUCACACUGGAACUGAGACACGGUCCAGACUCCUACGGGAGGCAGCAGUGGGGAAUAUUGGACAAUGGGCGAAAGCCUGAUCCAGCCAUGCCGCGUGUGUGAAGAAGGUCUUCGGAUUGUAAAGCACUUUAAGUUGGGAGGAAGGGUCGUUACCUAAUACGUGACGAUUUUGACGUUACCGACAGAAUAAGCACCGGCUAACUCUGUGCCAGCCGCCGCAGUAA
rnacentral:rRNA from 1 species